rnacentral:antisense_RNA from 1 species
UUUGCUUCUUGAUCCCCGACAUGCUGGCUGGCUGCGGCGGAGCCCGGGUCCCGGGAGCAGAGACCGAAGGACGCAGGGACGACGGCGGCGGCGGCGGCGGCAGCAGCAGCAGCAGCAGCAGCAGCAGCAGCAGCAGCAGCAGCAGCGGCUGCCGGACUCCCGGGAAGGAGAUGCUCGUGUCAAAGAGAAGAGCUACAAGACUGUUUCUGCCCCCAAGGUGCUCCAGUCCAUUGGAGAAGCAAACACAUAACUGAGAAUGACUCACCUUGUGAUGGCUGCUAUGAUGAGGUUCAUACCUGGUGCUACAGGACACAGAGAGGCAUAAUAAUGUGGUGGCCAGGCCGAACUACCUUUUUCAUAUUACAUAAGAUACAG